AGGAUAAACGCUGGCGGCGUGCCUAACACAUGCAAGUCGAACGCGCUUUUUUCGCAAGAGGAGAGCGAGUGGCGGACGGGUGAGUAACACAUGGGUACCUACCUUGGAGUGAGGGAUACCGGCGAGAAAUCGCCGACAAUACCGCAUACGCUUCUCUUCACCGGGAAGCAAAGUUGCGCAAGCGACGCUCUGAGAUGGGCCUGUGGCCGAUUAGCUAGUUGGUGGGGUAAGAGCCUACCAAGGCGACGAUCGGUAGCUGGUCUGAGAGGACGAUCAGCCACACUGGGAUUGAGAACGGCCCAGACUCCUACGGGGGGCAGCAGUGAGGAAUUUUCCGCAAUGGACGCAAGUCUGACGGAGCAACGCCGCGUGCAGGAUGAAGGUUUUCGGAUCGUAAACUGCUUUCUCGGGGACGAGCAAGGACGGUACCCGAGGAAGAAGCCCGGCUAACUACGUGCCAGCAGCCGC
rnacentral:rRNA from 1 species